AGCGAACGCUGGCGGCAGGCCUAACACAUGCAAGUCGAACGGGUUCCUUCGGGGACCAGUGGCAGACGGGUGAGUAACACGUGGGAACGUACCCUUCAGUUCGGAACAACCCAGGGAAACUUGGGCUAAUACCGGAUACGCCCUUCGGGGGAAAGAUUUAUCGCUGAAGGAUCGGCCCGCGUCUGAUUAGCUAGUUGGUGAGGUAACGGCUCACCAAGGCGACGAUCAGUAGCUGGUCUGAGAGGAUGAUCAGCCACACCGGGACUGAGACACGGCCCAGACUCCUACGGGAGGCAGCAGUGGGGAAUAUUGGACAAUGGGCGAAAGCCUGAUCCAGCCAUGCCGCGUGAGUGAUGAAGGCCCUAGGGUUGUAAAGCUCUUUUACCCGAGAUGAUAAUGACAGUAUCGGGAGAAUAAGCACCGGCUAACUCUGUGCCAGCCGCCGCGGUAACAC
rnacentral:rRNA from 1 species